ACUCUCCCCUCUCCCUCUCCAUAGCAGCAGCCAGGCUGGUCUGGGGCCAGGGAGCACCACUGACAUCGGGAGGGGACCCCAUGCCUUCACCCACUGUCCCCAUACUCACCCAUGGGCUUCCCCUGUGGGCAGCUACUUCCUUGAGCGGCUCCAACCUGUCAGAAAGUGUGAAAAUGUCUUCGGUUCACAUCUGAGGAAAAGAUGCACAGCUGAAUCAAGGAAUGGCUGCGAAACAGGCCUAGAUUUGCAAAUGUACUUGGGCAUCUCCCACCACUGAUACUGUGAAACUAGACUGAAAGCCUGGAUCCCACAGAUCUGAACUUGCAACAUGGGAUGAAACCAUAAUGUGAUCA